rnacentral:rRNA from 1 species
GCUACGGGUGGCUGCAGUGAGGAAUAUUGGUCAAUGGGCGUAAGCCUGAACCAGCCAAGUCGCGUGAGGGAUGAAGGUUCUAUGGAUCGUAAACCUCUUUUAUAAGGGAAUAAAGUGUGGGACGUGUCCUAUUUUGUAUGUACCUUAUGAAUAAGGAUCGGCUAACUCCGUGCCAGCAGCCGCGGUAAUACGGAGGAUCCGAGCGUUAUCCGGUUUUAUUGGGUUUAAAGGGUGCGUAGGCGGCCUUUUAAGUCAGCGGUGAAAGUCUGUGGCUUAACCAUAGAAUUGCCGUUGAACCGGGGGGGCUUGAGUAUGUUUGAGGCAGGCGGAAUGCGUGGGGUAGCGGUGAAAUGCUUAGAUAGCACGCAGAACCCCGAUUGCGAAGGCAGCCUGCCAAGCCAUGACUGACGCUGAUGCACGAAAGCGUGGGGAUCAAACAGGAUUAGAUACCCUAGUAGUC